rnacentral:rRNA from 1 species
AUUGAACGCUGGCGGCAGGCUUAACACAUGCAAGUCGAGCGGAGAUGAGGUGCUUGCACCUUAUCUUAGCGGCGGACGGGUGAGUAAUGCUUAGGAAUCUGCCUAUUAGUGGGGGACAGCAUUCCGAAAGGAAUGCUAAUACCGCGUACGUCCUACGGGAGAAAGCAGGGGAUCUUCGGACCUUGCGCUAAUAGAUGAGCCUAAGUCGGAUUAGCUAGUUGGUGGGGUAAAGGCCUACCAAGGCGACGAUCUGUAGCGGGUCUGAGAGGAUGGGCCGCCACACUGGGACUGAGACACGGCCCAGACUCCUACGGGAGGCAGCAGUGGGGAAUAUUGGACAAUGGGGGGAACCCUGAUCCAGCCAUGCCGCGUGUGUGAAGAAGGCCUUAUGGUUGUAAAGCACUUUAAGCGAGGAGGAGGCUACUGAGACUAAUACCCUUGGAUAGUGGACGUUACUCGCAGAAUAAGCACCGGCUAACUCUGUGCCAGCCGCCGCGGUAAGAC